rnacentral:rRNA from 1 species
GACGAACGCUGGCGGCGUGCCUAACACAUGCAAGUUGAGCGACGAACCAGGGCUUGCCCUGGGGCAAAGCAGCGAACGGGUGAGUAACACGUGGGUAACCUGCCCCGAUAACCGGGACAACCCGAGGAAACUCGGGCUAAUACCGGAUGUGCUCGCCGGACUGAAGUCCGGUGCGUAAAGGAAGCUUCGGCCUCCGUAUCGGGAGGGGCCCGCGGCCCAUUAGCUAGUUGGUGAGGUAACGGCUCACCAAGGCUGCGAUGGGUAGCUGGUCUGAGAGGACGAUCAGCCACACUGGGACUGAGAUACGGCCCAGACUCCUACGGGAGGCAGCAGUGGGGAAUCUUGCGCAAUGGCCUAACGGCUGACGCAGCGACGCCGCGUGUAGGAUGAAGCUCUUCGGAGUGUAAACUACUGUUGCCCGGGACGAACAGCUCGAUUAAUCGAGCCUGACGGUACCGGGUGAGGAAGCACCGGCUAACUCCGUGCCAGCCGCCGCAGUAAG